UGCAGUCGAGCGCGUGCUUCAUACAAGACAGCAGACGGGAGAGUUCACGUGGGAAAGAAACCUUCGGUUCGGAAUAACCCAGGGAAACUUGGACUAAUACUUGACACGUCCGAAAGGAGAAAGAUUCAUCGCCGAAGGAUCGGCCCGCGGCUGAUUAGCUAGUUGGUGAGGUAACGGCUCACCAAGGCUACGAUCGGUAGCUGGUCUGAGAGGAUGAUCAGCCUCACUGGGACUGAGACACGGCCCAGACUCCUACGGGAGGCAGCAGUGGG
rnacentral:rRNA from 1 species